rnacentral:rRNA from 1 species
ACGGAGGGUGCGAGCGUUGCUCGGAAUCACUGGGCGUAAAGCGUACGCAGGUGGUCUGUUAAGUCGGGUGUGAAAUCCCGGAGCUCAACUCCGGAACUGCGCCCGAUACUGGCAGACUUGAGUACGGGAGAGGGAAGCGGAAUUCCUGGUGUAGAGGUGAAAUUCGUAGAUAUCAGGAGGAACACCAGUGGCGAAAGCGGCUUCCUGGCCCGAUACUGACACUCAUGUACGAAAGCGUGGGUAGCAAACAGG